AGCUCUAACUAGCUGUUACAUAUACAUGUAUAUUAUCAAACAACUCUACGUUUGCUGCAGUCAUUUCCCCUUGUUUUUUCGUUUAGCUAUUAAGAAUCGAUCUCCAACAGCAUUUUGAUGAAAAUUUCUCUCUUAACACAUGCAAUAGCAAAUAGCCGCUGGAGAUAUACUGGUGAUAUCCUGAACAAGUUGUGGAGAUGGGAAACGAAUAGACCCUGGGUGAGUUUUUCUGGAGAUACCGAAACUUUAACAGAUGUAGAAUCUAGCUGAUCAAUGGAAUUUUGGGAAGAUGCACUUUUAAAACUGAUGGACUGUCACAAAUAGUGUGACUGGAUUUCAAAGCAGUCGAUCUACGGAAUCUGGUCCAUGAAUUGACCACCACUCAUCACCAUUAUUUUCCUGCAAUUUUGGGGCGACUUUCUGUUAAUAUGGAGAUUUUCCUGCACUCCAUUGAUAGCAGGUAAGCGAAAUUCCUAAUAAAACACACAUUCACAUUCAG